UACGUAGGGGGCUAGCGUUGUCCGGAAUCAUUGGGCGUAAAGAGCGUGUAGGCGGCCCGGUAAGUCCGCUGUGAAAGUCGGGGGCUCAACCCUCGAAUGCCGGUGGAUACUGUCGGGCUAGAGUGCGGAAGAGGCGAGUGGAAUUCCUGGUGUAGCGGUGAAAUGCGCAGAUAUCAGGAGGAACACCAGUGGCGAAGGCGCCGCUCUGGGCCGUGACUGACGCUGAGGAGCGAAAGCGUGGGUAGCAAACAGG
rnacentral:rRNA from 1 species